ACUCCUACGGGAGGCAGCAGUGGGGAAUAUUGCACAAUGGGCGCAAGCCUGAUGCAGCAACGCCGUGUGAGUGAAGAAGGUUUUCGGUAUCGUAAAACUACUGUCCUAAGGGAAGAAACAAAUAGACGGUACCUUAGGAGGAAGCCCGGCCUAACUACGUGCCAGCAGCCGCGGUAAUACGUAGGGGCGAAGCGUUAUCCGGAAUCACUGGGCGUAAAGGGUGCGUAGGCGGCUUAGCAAGCCAGGGGUGAAAGGCAUUGGCUCAACCAAUGUAAGCCUUUGGAACUGUUAAGCUUGAGUGCAGGAGAGGUAAGUGGAAUUCCUAGUGUAGAGGUGAAAUUCGUAGAUAUUAGGAGGAACACCAGUGGCGAAGGCGACUUACUGGACUGUAACUGACGCUGAUGCACGAAAGCGUGGGUAGCGAACAGGAUUAGAUACCCUGUAGCACAGAG
rnacentral:rRNA from 1 species